GACGAACGCUGGCGGCGUGCUUAACACAUGCAAGUCGAACGGUAAGGCCCUUCGGGGUACACGAGUGGCGAACGGGUGAGUAACACGUGGGUGAUCUGCCCUGCACUUCGGGAUAAGCCUGGGAAACUGGGUCUAAUACCGGAUAGGACCAUUGCCUGCUGGGUGGUGGUGGAAAGCUUUUGCGGUGUGGGAUGGGCCCGCGGCCUAUCAGCUUGUUGGUGGGGUGAUGGCCUACCAAGGCGACGACGGGUAGCCGGCCUGAGAGGGUGACCGGCCACACUGGGACUGAGAUACGGCCCAGACUCCUACGGGAGGCAGCAGUGGGGAAUAUUGCACAAUGGGCGCGAGCCUGAUGCAGCGACGCCGCGUGAGGGAUGACGGCCUUCGGGUUGUAAACCUCUUUCAGCAUCGGCGAAGCGAAAGUGACGGUAGGUGCAGAAGAAGGACCGGCCAACUACGUGCCAGCCGCCGCGGUAA
rnacentral:rRNA from 1 species